UGCAACUGACGCUGAAGCUCGAAAGUGCGGGUAUCGAACAGGAUUAGAUACCCUGGUAGUCCGCACGGUAAACGAUGGAUGCCCGCUAUUCGCUCGAAUGAGUGAGUGGCCAAGCGAAAGCAUUAAGCAUCCCACCUGGGGAGUACGCCGGCAACGGUGAAACUCAAAGGAAUUGACGGGGGCCCGCACAAGCGGAGGAACAUGUGGUUUAAUUCGAUGAUACGCGAGGAACCUUACCCGGGCUUGAAUUGCAGGAGAACGAUACAGAGAUGUUGAGGUCCUUCGGGACUCCUGUGAAGGUGCUGCAUGGUUGUCGUCAGCUCGUGCCGUGAGGUGUCGGCUUAAGUGCCAUAACGAGCGCAACCCCUGUUCUUAGUUGCCAUCAGGUAAUGCUGGGCACUCUGGAAUACUGCCACCGUAAGGUGUGAGGAAGGUGGGGAUGACGUCAAAUCAGCACGGCCCUUACGUCCGGGGCUACACACGUGUUACAAUGGCCGGUACAGAGAGUUGGUCGUGCGCAAGUACGGUCUAAUCCAUAAAACCGGUCUCAGUUCGGACUGGGGUCUGCAACCCGACCCCACGAAGCUGGAUUCGCUAGUA
rnacentral:rRNA from 1 species